rnacentral:rRNA from 1 species
UACAUAGGUCUCAAGCGUUGUUCGGAUUCAUUGGGCGUAAAGGGUGCGUAGGUGGCGCCAUAAGUCAGGUGUGAAAUCUCGGGGCUCAACCCCGAAACUGCACUUGAUACUGUGGUGCUCGAGUACUGGAGAGGAGAUUGGAAUUUACGGUGUAGCAGUGAAAUGCGUAGAUAUCGUAAGGAAGACCAGUGGCGAAGGCGAAUCUCUGGACAGUUACUGACACUGAGGCACGAAGGCCAGGGGAACAAACGGG